UUUAUCACAAGCCAUGAAUAGCUUUCAAAAAAGUAAUGGACAAAACCAUGGCAAAAAUAUGGGCUGCGUCCGAAACCGCCUACGUCUCUACUAUUUAGUAGGGGAAAAGCAGUAGGCGAGUGAAUAAGUAUGUCCGAAGCAAAAAGAGUAGGCGAAAAUUACCUGGGUGACGUAAAAAUUCUCGCGAGAUUCGGACGUGCGCCUACUUAAAGUGCGUCCGAAACCGCCUACUUACCUAAUAUAUAAUAGGGAAAAACAGUAGGCGAGCAAUUAAGUAUGUCAGAAACCUCAGUAAUCAUAAAAGAGUAGUCGAGGAGUUCCCGGAUGGCCUACUACUUCCGCCCAGAUUCUGAAGUGUUCCUCGCUGGAUACUUUUCUAUCCAAGGAGGCCACGGGAGAGGAUACGUCAUAAUCAAACACGGAGGAGAAAAGCGACGCGGAUGCUGUCAAAUGGACAGAUGACGGGGACAGAUGAGCACACAUGUGUUUAUCCGGUAGAGCAGCACUUCUCAAAGUCCGGACUCCGGUCCGGACCCGGACCCGGAGGGGAUUCAAUCCGGACCCGCCUCCAUUUCGUAUUUCAACAGCAGUAAUUGUGUAGCUUUUGUGGUAGAGCAGGACCUGCAAGGAAAGGUGACGGCGGUUUUUUAUUAGAAAAAAAAAAGAGGAAAACCUGAAACAAAAUAUAAAGAUGUGAAUGUCCUCAGACGGGUGUGAGCACUGAGGAUGGAGAGACACAGCAGAUCCUGGGAAUGGUUCAGUGUCAUGGAUGAGACCCUUCAUCACUCCUCCUUCCAAGUGUCUUGAUCAAGGACACACUGGAGGUGACGCUGCAGAGAUCGAACCAGCAACCUUCUGCUGACCAGCUCAGUGGUUUAGCCCACCACACCACAAAUUCAUGCUGAUGGAGAGCACAUGAAUGUUUGCAGCAGACACAGCGGCAGACAGAUUGUCCCGCACAUCUUCUCCCACUCCUGCUUCAAGGUUGUGGGAUUCAGGGGUCCAUCAUCAUCAUCUUCCUCAUCCUCUGGAUCAACGAUGUCCCCAGUGAGAAGAGCAGCAGUGAGGGACAUGAUGAUGAAGGUGUUCAUCAGCUGCUUCAUCAGAAUAAAGCUGCAGAAUGGGCACAGCUGUGUUGAGAUGGCAGCAGGACUGUAAAUACCUGAUUGUUAGAUCAAUACAUUUGAAUAAAGCUUUGUUUUGUGUGUUGUUGACUUGUAUAUGCAUUUAUUUAUUGUCAUUAUUACUUUUAUUAAUUCUUUUACUUUUUUUAUUAAUUAUGCUAUUAUUAUCAGUAAAUAUAUAUAUAUAUUAUUAAGCAAUGACUUAAUGCAUGAAUUGACUGUAAAUGGAGAUGUAUUCACAUCAGCUGUAUUUGUCUAGUGUGUGUUCAUGCAGAGCUGUCAUAUGACAAAACAUUACAUUUAGCUUGUUUUACUAAAGAAGUAAAAUGAAAAGUAAUA